GGGCCGUUAACUCAGUUGGUAGAGUAUCUGCCUUUUAAGCAGAGAGUCGUAGGUUCGAAUCCUACACGGCCCACCA
rnacentral:tRNA from 1 species